UGGGGAAUUUUGGACAAUGGGCGCAAGCCUGAUCCAGCCAUGCCGCGUGCGGGAAGAAGGCCUUCGGGUUGUAAACCGCUUUUGUCAGGGAAGAAAUCUUCUGAGUUAAUACCUCGGGAGGAUGACGGUACCUGAAGAAUAAGCACCGGCUAACUACGUGCCAGCAGCCGCGGUAAUACGUAGGGUGCAAGCGUUAAUCGGAAUUACUGGGCGUAAAGCGUGCGCAGGCGGUUUUGUAAGACAGAGGUGAAAUCCCCGGGCUCAACCUGGGAACUGCCUUUGUGACUGCAAGGCUUGAGUGCGGCAGAGGGGGAUGGAAUUCCGCGUGUAGCAGUGAAAUGCGUAGAUAUGCGGAGGAACACCGAUGGCGAAGGCAAUCCCCUGGGCCUGCACUGACGCUCAUGCACGAAAGCGUGGGGAGCAAACAGGAUUAGAUAGCCCUGGUAGUCCACGCCCUAAACGAUGUCAACUGGUUGUUGGGAAGGUUCCUUCUCAGUAACGUAGCUAACGCGUGAAGUUGACCGCCUGGGGAGUACGGCCGCAAGGUUGAAACUCAAAUGAAUUGACGGGGUCAUAGCUGUUUCC
rnacentral:rRNA from 1 species